rnacentral:rRNA from 1 species
AGCGAACGCUGGCGGCGUGCCUAACACAUGCAAGUCGAGCGAACCCUUCGGGGUGAGCGUCGGACGGGUGAGUAACGCGUGGGUAACCUGCCCUAUACACACGGAUAACGUACCGAAAGGUACGCUAAUACGGGAUAAAGUUGUUGGAUGGCAUCUUCUAACAAUCAAAGCUCUGGCGGUAUAGGAUGGACCCGCGUCUGAUUAGCUAGUUGGUGAGGAAAUGGCUCACCAAGGCGACGAUCAGUAGCCGACCUGAGAGGGUGAUCGGCCACACUGGAACUGAGACACGGUCCAGACUCCUACGGGAGGCAGCAGUGGGGAAUAUUGCACAAUGGGCGAAAGCCUGAUGCAGCAACGCCGCGUGAGCGAUGAAGGUCUUCGGAUCGUAAAGCUCUGUCCUCAAGGAAGAUAAUGACGGUACUUGAGGAGGAAGCCCCGGCUAACUACGUGCCAGCCGCCGCCGUAA